GGGCCCGUAGUCUAGUGGUUAGGACGCCGCCCUGACACGGCGGUGAUCCCGAGUUCAAAUCUCGGCGGGCCCA
rnacentral:tRNA from 3 species